UUAAGUUCAGCGGGUAUCCCUACCUGAUCCGAGGUCAACCUGAAAAAUUUGGGGGUUGCUGGCGGGCAUGCGGCUGGGCAUCCAGAGCGAGAAGAAUUACUACGCUCGGAGCCAGACGGCACCGCCACUAACUUUAGGGCCCGCCGGGGCGGCGGGGCCCAACACCAAGCAUAGCUUGAGGGUUGUAAUGACGCUCGGAC
rnacentral:misc_RNA from 1 species